GGGAGGUGUGACUCCUCCUAGCGGGGAGUUGGAGAGGUUUGUGGCUGGGAGUGCCUAGAUGAGUUUGAGUAAGAGCAGGUGGUGCUGGAGAUCCAAAGCUUUGAUCAGUUAAUAGUAGAAGAAAGAAGAUAGACCUGGAUAAUCAGCCACCCCAAAAAUAGAAGAACCUGUCAUUUUCAUGAUGGAACAUGGAGGAGGCAGAAGGAAGAAUUAGAAGCUUUUGUGAUGCUAUGGCAAUGGUGCUGUUCAUUAGAAUCACCUAUGGAGCUUUAAAAACUGUAGUUCUUGCUAAAGCUCGGAAGUUCUCCUGGAUUCAAGAACAAGUGUCUCCGUCCUCCCCGCACCAUCAUCUCAUCACGUCUGGCGUUCCUUCACCGGAGUCUCCAAUUCUGAGACCCGAUGUCUCUUUCCUUCAAACUCUGCUCCAAGCCUUAAUUGCUUCAUGUUAGAUUGAUGUUAUAAUUGUCACGUUGGCCUUUUUGUCUCCCCUUAUGCAGAAAGCUAGCAGCUAGCAGCAACAGUGAUCCUCACCCAGCCUGUCUCCAUCUUCCAAUGGUUCCUUUCAGAUUCCUGGCUCGGCUUCUAAUGCCCUCAUCCGCCAUGUACAUCGUUUAGUGUACCCUCUGGUAAACACUCAUCGUAUCCUUUUCAUCUUCAGCACGUAUUUGUGUAAUUUUGGAUUCAUGGUGGCAAGCCACUCGGAGAACUGAGAGUGAAUAAAGCGAAUGCAGGAUCUGAACUGGGGAGAGGUUCCCCUUGUUUCUAGCAUCUGCCCAUGUCUGUGCAGCACCAGAGAAUGGAACAUAAUAAGCUUCAUUGUGCUAGUGAAUGCCACUGGGAGGGGUAAUUCUUUACUCUCUGAAUCUUCAUUUUUCUUCUUGGUGUAAAUUAAUUAAGUGGUGUGCUAAUCAUUUAUGCAAUUCACCAAAUAUUUCUGUUCUUCCAAUGCACAAAAGAGGAUUGUACUUCCUCUUUUUUUUCGGAUGGAGCAAUGUGACUAAUUCUGGCCAAUGACUUAAGAGUCGAAGUAAUACUUAUCGUUUCUAAGCCAGUGCCUUCAACUACCAGGAGAAGAUUCUAGAGCCUUCUUUCCCUUGGGGAUGAUGACUGCAACUUCCUUUUUUUUUUUAAUGUUUAUUUACUCUGAGAGAAAGAGAGAGAUGGGGAG